AUCGCCGCGGACCCGCUUCUUCGAAGAUGGCGGCAUCGAACUCGGGUCCGAUGAGAGCAAGACCCUGAGAAGCUGCCACCAGAUUAAACACCCUAAACGAGUUAGAAGAUUUGAAGACAGAUUUUUAUUUGCCUCUAGGGUUUCUGAUUUCUCUCAAGAAUCUGGAUCCAGCCAGGGAUUUUAAAAUUGAAGACAAUGAACUUGUUUCAGAGACUUCCAGCAUCUGCAGAAUUUACAAGCAAGUCUGCAAACACAAAUGUACAUAUUAGGAGCAAGAACACAAGCAGCAGUAUUUUGGAUCGCCUGAAAAUUAGUGAGAAGUUGAAUAUGUAAGUGCAUUAAUGGAAGAUACGUCUCCUCCUCCUGUUCUGCAAUUCAGACCAGUGAGAGAUUUGGGAGGAACUUAAGAGAUGAUGGUGUCUACACACAUCUCCUCCCUGAUCCUUCGAGACAGUGAAGGCUGAGUUUGGAAAAUUCUGUCCAAGUUCUGGGCAAGCUAUCACAGAAAUGUUCCUAUGACUGACCCUACGGGACACAACUGAUUACAUCAUUUCCUCUGUGAAAACUCUAUUUUGUCACUCUUUUUCUGUAUCAAUAAAGUAUUCCCUUU